rnacentral:sRNA from 1 species
AACCUAAGUAAAAUUUCAAUUUCUCACUGUCGUCGACUCUGCUCCAAACGCGUUCCGUCUCUGGCGAUUCCAAAACCCCAAAAUCAUCAAAACCUAACAUCGUCUUUUUCUUUUCUCCGGCGACUGCACACAACCCCUUUCUUUCUCAUUUCCGAGUAAUUCACCGCCGUUUCCUAACCGAACGUCGCGACUCCACACAACCGUUUUAGUUCCGCCGUCAAAACCGAACGUCGCGACUCCACACAUCUAUUACAGUUCCGUUGCAGUUCCGUCGUCGUUCCAAACCGCCGACGUUCCAAAUUGUAAGUGUAGAAUAGGGCAUUUAGUAUAGAAAUUGGAACGGUUUUUGAUUUGAAACAUUAGAAUUGGUUUUUGUUGUGUUGAUUUGAACGGUUUCCUUGAUUGUUGAGUGGUUUUGCAAGGUAAUCAUGGGUCGUGUAAGGUUAGUCACUCCUAGUUCGAGUGAAAGUGAAGACAAGAGGGUCACGAUCAUCCGUGAAGCGGAUAUGAACCGUGAAGAAGUUGCAGCCGAGGAAAACAAAUUUGAAGACGAAAACUGUGAACAAGAGCCUCCGGAAAACCUUAACGAACCGGAAGAAGAAAAGAUUUCUGAGGUAUAUACAAAUUUAUGAAAAUUUUGUGUGAAUAUUGAUGUAGUGUUUAGGGACAACUAGAAAACAAUGAGUACAAGUUAACAAUGGUUAUUUAUGUAAAUUGUGUUUGAAUAUUGAAAGUAGUGUAUAGGGACAACUAGAAAACAAUGAGUACAACUUAAUAGUAUUGGUUUGUUUGAUUGGUGCAUGCAUGGAUUUAUACGUGAUCAAUCAUACAUUGAUU